GAUGGGAGGGUCAUACAGGAAUUUAUUGAGCUUGGUGCCAGAGGCAAAGUUGCUGCUUCUGAGGGCAUGGACGCUGAAGCUGCUCUCGGGGACAUACCAGAUGAAUUCCUUGAUCCAAUUCAGUACACUUUAAUGAAGGAUCCAGUUAUCUUGCCUUCUUCAAGAAUCACGGUAGACCGACCUGUCAUCCAAAGGCAUCUUCUUAGUGAUAAUUCGGAUCCGUUCAACCGCUCCCAUCUUACGGCGUACAUGCUGAUACCAGACAAUGAAUUG